UACUUAGUGGCAGACGGGUGAGUAACAUGUGGGUAUCUACCCUUUGGCCUGGAAUAACACGAGGAAACUUGUGCUAAUACCGGAUAAGUCUUUACGGAGAAAGCUUUAUGCACCAUUGGAUGAGCCCGCACUUGAUUAGUUUGUUGGUAGGGUAAUGGCCUACCAAGACUAUGAUCAAUAGCUGAUUUGAGAGGAUGAUCAGCCACAUUGGGACUGAGACACGGCCCAAACUCCUACGGGAGGCAGCAGUGGGGAAUCUUGCACAGUGGAGGAAACUCUGAUGCAGCGAUGCCGCGUGAGUGAAGAGGGCCUUUGGGUUGUAAAGCUCUUUCGUCGGGGAAGAAAAUGGCUGUACCCGAAUAAGAAGGUCCGGCUAACUUCGUGCCAGCAGCCGCGGUAAUACGAAGGGACCUAGCGUAGUUCGGAAUUACUGGGCUUAAAGAGUUCGUAGGUGGUUGAAAAAGUUGGUGGUGAAAUCCCAGAGCUUAACUCUGGAACUGCCAUCAAAACUUUUCAGCUAGAGUAUGAUAGAGGAAAGC
rnacentral:rRNA from 1 species